rnacentral:lncRNA from 1 species
AAAGUAAUGGAGAAUGAGAGAGUUUAACAUUCUCUUAGGAGGAAGAUUUAAUCCAGCAGCUGACACAAAGUGUUUGCAGUCGUGGCCCGGGAAUCACGGGAGUUGAAUCGGAGCCCCUGAAGAUCACGUUCCCAAUGAACAAGUGCAGGAACAGAGGCCACAGCACAUACCCAGGGACAUCAGAACUUCUCACAUACAGUCUUCAGAGCCUGGGACCUUUCAUUGUGAAAGAGGAGAGGACAAGCUUUUCCCAUGCGGGUGAGCAGCGAAUCCAAGUUGCCUGUCUCCACUCUUCAAAGGCAGGAAAUUGUUUCACCAUGUUCCACAAAAGGAAUAUGGUCUGCAAAUGGAAGAAUCAUUUGGGAAAGCAGCUUAUGCAGGAGCCCCAGGAGGGUGGCUGCAGUUGAUUCAAUGGUCUCAUGACGGUGUGAUGUGUGAUGCAGUAGCCUCCUGGCAAAGAAGUGCCCCCAAGCAGACCCGCUGUAUCCUUGGACCCUGCAGCAGCCAAACUACAAUACAUAGCCACAGGCAUUGGCUUUGCCCAUCCAGUCCCCUCUAUACAGCCCAUUCAUAUGACCUGAGCACUAAAUAAAGACCUCAGAAUGGCAGAGAUACAGCCAGGGAGCCGCUGCUUACUAAAUUACUAAAAUGUAAUGCCUCACUGGGUUGGAUGCCGGCAUUGGCAGGGCUUUUGUUUGUUGGUUUGUCUAUUUGUUUAGCAAAAUUAGCAAGCAAAAUUAAACCCUUGUCACCUUCUUCAGCCGGAAUGUGAGCUGGAAGACCAUUCUCCAGAGCAGAGCCUUCAUUUGCAGGCUUUUCUAUAACUGGGGAGCAGUGGAGGGACAGGAGGUGGAAGGGCACUGCUGUAACCACCACAGGGCAUCUUACUCAGCCCCAGGAGUGAAAGUGGAAAGAAAAGCACAGGCAGAGAGACCUGCACACUUUCCCUGCUCCCUAGAGGACCCUGCCAAUCCCGGGCUGUCUGGGUACUGCCUCCCAGGAGCUCUGUAGGAAACUGGAAAGGGAGUGGUUGGAAACACAGUCUCUGCAGUCGGAGCUGGAACAAGUCACUGAAUCCCUCUGUGUCUCCACUUCCUUGUUUUAUCUCAAGGAUGAUAAU